GACGAACGCUGGCGGCGUGCCUAAUACAUGCAAGUCGAACGAGAGCGGCCGGUGCUUGCACUGGUCAAUCUAGUGGCGAACGGGUGAGUAACACGUGGGUAACCUGCCCAUCAGAGGGGGAUAACAUCCGGAAACGGAUGCUAAAACCGCAUAGGUCUUCGAACCGCAUGGUUUGAAGAGGAAAAGAGGCGCAAGCUUCUGCUGAUGGAUGGACCCGCGGUGCAUUAGCUAGUUGGUGAGGUAACGGCUCACCAAGGCCGUGAUGCAUAGCCGACCUGAGAGGGUGAUCGGCCACAUUGGGACUGAGACACGGCCCAAACUCCUACGGGAGGCAGCAGUAGGGAAUCUUCCGCAAUGGACGCAAGUCUGACGGAGCAACGCCGCGUGAGUGAAGAAGGUUUUCGGAUCGUAAAACCCUGUUGUUAGAGAAGAACAAGUGCUAGAGUAACUGUUAGCGCCUUGACGGUAUCUAACCAGAAAGCCACGGCUAACUACGUG
rnacentral:rRNA from 1 species